GACGAACGCUGGCGGCGUGCUUAACACAUGCAAGUCGAACGGAAAGGCCCUGCUUUUGUGGGGUGCUCGAGUGGCGAACGGGUGAGUAACACGUGAGUAACCUGCCCUUGACUGUGGGAUAACUUCAGGAAACUGGGGCUAAUACCGGAUAGGAGCUCCUGCUGCAUGGUGGGGGUUGGAAAGUUUCGGCGGUUGGGGAUGGACUCGCGGCUUAUCAGCUUGUUGGUGUGGUAGUGGCUUACCAAGGCUUUGACGGGUAGCCGGCCUGAGAGGGUGACCGGCCACAUUGGGCCUGAGCUGCGGCCCAGCCUCCUACGGGACGCAGCGGUGGGGAAUAUUGCACAAUGGGCGGAAGCCUGAUGCAGCAACGCCGCGUGCGGGAUGACGGCCUUCGGGUUGUAUACCGCCUUCGCCUGUGCCGAAGCGUGAGUGACGGUAAUGGGUAAAGAAGCACCGGCUAACUACGUG
rnacentral:rRNA from 1 species